rnacentral:rRNA from 1 species
AUUGAACGCUGGCGGCAUGCCUUACACAUGCAAGUCGAACGGUAACAGGUCUUCGGAUGCUGACGAGUGGCGAACGGGUGAGUAAUACAUCGGAACGUGCCCGAUCGUGGGGGAUAACGAAGCGAAAGCUUUGCUAAUACCGCAUAAGAUCUACGGAUAAAAGCGGGGGAUCGCAAGACCUCGCGCGAUUGGAGCGGCCGAUAUCAGAUUAGGUAGUUGGUGGGGUAAAGGCUCACCAAGCCAACGAUCUGUAGCUGGUCUGAGAGGACGACCAGCCACACUGGAACUGAGACACGGUCCAGACUCCUACGGGAGGCAGCAGUGGGGAAUUUUGGACAAUGGACGCAAGUCUGAUCCAGCCAUUCCGCGUGCAGGAUGAAGGCCCUCGGGUUGUAAACUGCUUUUGUACGGAACGAAAAGGUCUCUCUUAAUACGGGGGGCUCAUGACGGUACCGUAAGAAUAAGCACCGGCUAACUACGUGCCAGCAGCCGCGGUAA